GGCGACAUCAGGAAACAAUAGUUGUGUUAUUUAAAGGUUAUCGUCUCUACACGGACACCUGAGAGUCCACUCGGUGUCUUCCAUCGUGUCCACUGCCCAAAGGACCAAGCGUCCGCUGUGUUCAAACCCUCCUCCACGUCUAAAAGCGUGUCUGCGGUCAGGUUCGGUUUUAUUUUCUCAUUAAUCUUUAAACCAUCAGAAAAGACAUCGGUCCCAGCGCGACGUCUCCAAAUGUCUUGUUUUGUCGGACCGACGGUCCAAAACCCGAAGAGCUUCGGUUCACUGAGGUAUAAAAACAGAGAAACGCUGCAAAUGUGUUUGUUUCUCCUCAAAAAAAAUUACUGAAAACGAUAAAUCAAUUAUCAGAAUAGUUGCCAAUUCAUUUUCUGUCGCUCUGAUCGGCUGAUCGUGGCAACUCUAGUUAGUUUUACCAGCCGGUAAACUGCUAAAGGAGCCUGAAGCACCAGUGCUGUUGCUAUGGUUACCUGCAGUUUAAGGAAAGGUGGUUAAACUGUUGACCUGAACCUUGUUUACGCUGUAUACAGCCGCUGUAUGUUGAUUUUUCUGUAUUUGUAUCCACCUGCUUCACCUACUUGUAUGGAUCUAUGAUCUGUCUCUGAGUUAUGUAUGCUGCUACCUGUCACUCACCCGUCAUAACGUCUCUACGUGGACACCUGGGUGGUGUUUUAGCCUCCACCUGGACAGCCGGUUACUGUCUCUGCCAUCAUGUGGCUGUUUUUAAAUCCUCCUCCGUGCUGUAAAGUGUGUGUGUGUGUGUGUGUGUGUGUGUAGUCAGUGUCGGUUAGUUUCACCACUCAGGUAACUGAAGCAUCUGUGCUGUUGCUAUGGUUACCUGCAAUUUAAUAAGAGCCGAGGGUUGCAUCUUUGACCCGAGCUGUGUCUGACGUGAGCACAGGAUGACGUGGACGGGACGGCACAGGUGUGGUCUUCACACCUGAUCAGGCCGUCAACACCCGUGUGCCAAGAGGCCCGGCGUUACGUGUGCACGACCUUUCACCUGCCGAUGAUGGACAUCUGCAAAUGUGCAGCUUUCGCCAAAGUGUUCCAAGACGUGUAUGACAUCAUGGCGGAACCACACCUGGUUAUGUGAGAGGUGUGAUUCUUGCUUCUCACCUGUCAUCCUCCUCUGCAUGUCUUACAGUUUCUCCCCUUAGAGGCCAUCCUAACAGAGCAGCCAGGCUCUUCUUAGGCUCCACUCAGGCUCCUCUCAGGCUCCUCUCAGGCUCCACUCAGGCUCCUCUCAGGCUCCACUCAGGCUCCUCUCAGGCUCCACUCAGGCUCCUCUCAGGCUCCUCUCAGGCUCCUCUCAGGCUCCACUCAGGCUCCUCUCAGGCUCCACUCAGGCUCCACUCAGGCUUUCAUUAGUUGUGAAGUGACGGUUCUGACCAAAGCACUGAGGAUGAGCUGCCUGCUGUUAUAUCAUUAUCUGUUACUGUUAACAAUAAAUAUAAAACAAGCCUUUCAUAAGUGAAGCAUGCAUUUAUUGUGUUUAAACUUUGAAUACAAUAAUAACACUGUACAAUAGCCACACAAUGUAAACAGUAUAUCAUAAAAAAUGAAAUCAGGAUUUCCUGUUGUGACAGCAGUUUGACUCAGUGAAUCAUGAAUUUUGGCAAACAGCACAGAUGCAAUAUGAAAUCCAGAAAACAGAACAUUGUACGGUGAGUGGCAAACCAGUAGAAACUGUAAAACCAGUGAGAAGUGUCCCAGUUGCUGGUUUCUCUGGUGACCAGAGAUAUGACUCUCAGCAUCAACAGCAGACGUCCUGGUUACUGGCAGACAGCACAGACGUGAACACAUUAAGUGUCACUUCAGGAACGGGCAUGAACAGUAUGCAUCUUUUGGUAGGAGAGGUGCUACAACAUGUCUGCAGGUGUUCAUUAUGCAAUACGUGCAAUAAGUGAUGUUUUGGGAUGAGAGCGGAAACAAGGUGUGAACAAACAUUGACAUAUCAGCUUUGUUGGACUUGUGUUUCCGUCCACCUGGUGAAUCCAGUAUUCUCUCUCUUUCAGCUGAGGGAAACAUCUGGCUCUUUAGCUGCUAAGCGCUCCGCUAUGUUCACCAGCUGCUCUCUGACUGCGUCUGUCUGCUGUUUGCUGCCGAGCAGCUCGUGUUCAGCAGAUGUUUAAUGUGUUUUCUCUGCAAACAGCGGCCUGCUGCGUCCGAAAAUGCUGCUCUUAGAGCCCAGAGAGUGAACCAGAGGAGUACAGCUGCAGCCUGACAGCUGAGCGGAGCUGCAGACCCUCUGCUGGUUCGUCGCGUCAUGGCACACCUCUGACACUGCACAUGAUAUUUUCAUACAUUUUUAUAAAAAAAUAUUGAUUAUAGAACUUAAACACAGAUGAGUAUGAACAUGGCACGUGAUGUAUAACAACACAGAGUAAUGAAAAUAGAAGGUAGUGUGGAGAUCUCAAGUUAAUGCGUUCAGCGUAGUUUAUGGACUCCUCACCUUAUAUGAUGUCCAUCAGUUACUGCUCCACACUUACAGCGACAGGCCUUCUACCAAAACCUGUUUCAGCACUGAAGCUUCCUUUGAUUUGCUUUGAGCAGAGGACAGAGGGCCCUGAUGUGUCUCUGCAGGCGGUUCAGUGCCGUCCCUGUCUGUGACAGAACCACGGACUCUGUCUGCAGCAUUUCAGUCGCCUUCUUGUCUGUUGCUUCUUUUGACUUAUAUAAAUACAGCACAUUAGCUUUAUGAGGUAGAUUCAGCUGCACAUCUGUAAUUCCUCCUCUGGAGAUGCCUCCUCUUCCUCAGUGAAACCCUCUGGGUCCAGCACAGUCCAGAGGACAGGAAGUGUUCAUGAUGAAGCCGACAGCGUCCUGCUUUCUUCUGCAGAGACCUCUCGAUCUAAGAAUUUGUUCACUUUCACUAAUUUCAUAACCAUGCAUGCUGUUGAGCAGCAGCACUACAUCAGCAGACUUAAGGCCCAGUUCACAGUGCAGUUCAGUGAGCUGAUAUACUGGGGCGAUGUGCUGGAGCAGCUGAGUGCAAAUAGACAUGUGACUCAGAUGGAAGAAGAAAAGUAUCACGAGGGAACGCAAAAGUCUUUUAAAAAAUUCUCGCCGUGACCUUUAGGGGGCUCCGUAGUAAUUAUGAAAAAAAUAAAUGCAAAUAUAAAUAUAUAUAAAAAGCAACAAUGACCAACAACAUACAAUGUGUCAAAGUGUUUCUGUCGGUUGUAAACAAAAAUGCAAAUGCAAUGGUGCAGAGUGCAAAGAGUGCUGGAAUACAUAUUGAAUGAUUCAUGUAAUCGGUUACUUUAUAAACAUACAGUAUGUACACGUAUACAUGUCUAUAUACAUUCUACACAGUGUGCUUAGAUUUAUAUUGGACAGUGAUGGAUGAUAUGUACAUGUUAAGAACUGUGUGUAUUUUAAACUGUAAUGUGGAGCUUCAGUGGUUUUAGAGUUCCAGGCAUCCUGACACUCUGCGGCUGAUGCUGACUGGUCAUCACAGCGACAAACUGUUCUGGUGUCUGGUUGUUUUGGUGUACGGUGCUCUGUAGCGCCUCCCAGAGGGGAGAAGGGGGAACAGGUGGUGUCCAGGGUGUGGUGGGUCUGCAGCGAUGUUUCCUGAAGUCCUGAAUGGAGGGCAGGUCGGCACCAGUGAUUCUUUCUGUAUUCGAUAGUUUGUGCAGAAAUGGCUGGAGCCGUUUGUUGCUUUGAUGAGAACAAACAGCAGAUUUUAGUGAAACGUACACGUGGGCUUGUUCAUCUCACUACUGAGUCUGUCGUCCUCUGACUUUGACUGGUGCUUCUAGCAUCACUGUUAGUCACAAUAAGUAAGUACAACUUCCUGAAUGAGAAAUCUGAUAACUGACCUGCUGCAUGUAAACAUGUGCUUCAGUUACUUGUGCAAGCUGGUUUUUGUGUGCAUGUAAACGUACUGAUUGUGACUUUAUGUCCAACUGUGUCUCCGCCUCCUGCUCGCAGGUAAGCACACACCUGGCUUCCUCCAGCUGCCUGCACCAUCAGUUUAUGGACAUAGUGAGUUCUCAAGGCUCUGAAAAAAGUUUUUAUAUUUUGAUGUUUGAUAUAUUUAAUAUGAUGACGUUUGUUGCUCAAUAUUUCAAAAUUUAAAUCUGAAAAUCUUUGCAACUUUUUCUCAAAAUAUUGUGACUUUUUUCCUUGAAACAAUAUUUUAAUGUCCAAGUACUACAACAUUUUUCUCAAAAUAUUGAGACAUCUUGAAAUAUCCCAGCUGGAUAGCGCCGGUGACUCCUGCAGGCCCAACAAGGCCUCAAAAAAGACCGAUAUCAAAAGGAAAAGGGUUGCAACCUCUGUGGUAGCAAGAAGACAGUGGAUCAGAUGACAGGACCAAAAAUCCCCCUUCAGGCAGGAAGUCUCAAACAAGCAGACAAAUAAAGCUGCUGCUGCUGCUGCAGGUUGCCACAGGUGCAGAGUCCUGGAAGUUCAUGGACUUUAACAAGAGCCGUGAGGACUGGAAGGCUGGAGGAUGCACCAUCAAUAUCUGUCUUUGGUGCAAAGUCCAGGUUACACACCCCAUGCAGCAGCUGCCCCCCAAACCCCAACAACCUCCACCAUUAAGGUAAGGAAGACUGUAUGUAGCCUGAGAGACAAAACCCAGAGCAAAAGCACCAGUCACUGCUGCUCGUUCAGAGACUCAGACAGGUGAACCGACUCAGAUCUUCUCUCAGCUGGACAAUAAAGAACAGUUUUACUAUAAAAAUGGGAUGACGCCCAUGCACAUUAUUAUACAUUCAUGAGUGAGAAGACAGACACCAGGCUGUAUAGUGACAAAGUGUGUAUUUAUAUUAUCUUCCCCUCCCACACACACAUACACACACAUCUUUAGUUACAGUUGGUGCUCAGUGUUGAGUAAUAAUAAUAAUAACAAUAAUAAUAAUAUAAGCGAUAGUUGUCUUCAAAUAUAGAGCGAUACACUUUAUACAAAAUACCCUGCAUAUUACUGUCAAGUUUAAUGUGAAUGAGAAGAGCAGUGUGGUGUGAUUGUUCCUGGUUGUUCACUCUGACGGCCACCGGAGGGCGUGUUUCCACACCGAACUCUGAAGGUUCAGACUGAUGAUCAGUUCUAAUGAAAUCAGAUCAAUAAUCAUCUUUUAAAAACCUUCUGCAGAGUGUUUUUGAGGUUUUUCAAGAGGGAAAACAAAGGGAAAGGAAAUUCUCAACACAACAUCCAACUUACUCUGAUUUUCUGAAGCUUUCAGCUACAUCUUGUAGUCUUCCUCAAAGUUUGUGGGUCACAUGACGACAGCUGGUAUUUGUGCAGGAAAGCUUCAGAAACACCAAGUGAACGUUGUGUUUUGCUAAACUGCCAUUUCCAAGGUCAAGAAUGAAGCUUAAAGCUCAAAGGAAAGAAUCAGACACUCCAGCAGUCAGACGUCCACAUGUCUUAACAUUAUAAAAGCCUUAAAGCUUUGUAGCUGAAAACAGAACUAAAAGUCACACAUCUGCAAACAGUUCAGAUUCAGUUCUCUGAGAUAUAAAACAGGAUGUCCUCCCACUGGAGACGCUGCAACCAGAGAACCAAAGAAACCUCUAACAGCAUAUAAUGUGUGUAUAUACAGUAUAUAUUCUUUGAAAUGCCCAGAGCAUCCUUUGGGUGUUUGUUCCUGAAGUGUUUCGGUUGACAGACAGUUGAGGAAAUAUUUGGCUAAAAGUCUGAACAACAAACCUGCAAACUGAUGGAUCAGACAGCAUCAGCACGAGAUGCUUCUGCCUCGCAGUGUGGGAAGGAUAUUCGUAAAGACUUUAAACUGUUGAGGAAACAGUUUCUACAGCCGGACAGCUUUUGGAUGAAAGGAGAAGAAGAAUCCCAGCGAUUAGCUGACGUCUUCAGAUGUCUUGUUUUGUCCGACAGUUAAAUAUAUUCAGUUUCCGGAGAUAUAAAACAGAGAAAAACAGAAAAACUGACAAUCUCAUAAUUCUGAUGUCAUUAUAUCUCAUUAGUUAUGAGAUCAGAAUUUCAAAAUUAUGAGAAAACCCUCAAAAUAAUGAGACCAGACCAACUGUAACAUGAGAAAAGUAAGUUUGACCAAAGAAAAAAAUCUUAAUAACGAGAAAACCAAAGGCGUAGAGUUCGGUAUGACGGUGGAGACACGUUCCUACAGGCGCUGCUGAAGUGUCCCCACCAAUAGGAGCUCUUUAUCUCACACUUCUGAGAAAACUAUCUCCCAUAACAAGACAUGAACCCUGUCAUUAUGACUUCCUCCCAACUCUGACCUUUCGUCUCGUAGUUGUGUAAUUCUGACAUCCUUAACUUAUAAUUAUGUAUUACUGUAAUUAUUAUCUUUUGAUGAUGCUGAAGUCAUAAUUAUGAGCUAAUGUCUGUCUUUAUCUUUGGUGAAAGCAGAAGAAGAAGAAUUCCUUUAUUAACAGCGUCUUUCCGUUCGGGACAUUUAGAUUCAUUGUGUAAUAUUGGAAUUCUUCCAGACUGAACCCAACGCUCCUCCAGUUUGCAGGUUGUCACGCAGACGUGGUUUUAUACAAACAGUCCUAAAUAUGAGUGCAAAGGCAUGCAGCACCACCCACCUCCACCUCCCAGUGCAACGUCAUCAACAGC